AGGUAGCAUAAUCAUUAGUUUCUUAAUUGGGGUCUGGUAUGAAUGGUUUGAACGGGGAUUAACUGUCUUCUUUUGGUAUUUUGAAUUUUAGUUUAUUGUGAAGACGCAAUAAUGUUUCCAUAAGACGAGAAGACCCUAUAAAGCUUUAUUGGUGAGAUGAUUAUUUUUAUUGUUUGAUAAUUUUGUUGGGGCGACAUAUAAAUUUAGUGUAAAACAGUUGUUUUUAUUGAUUUUGGUCUUUUAUACCACUAAAGAUCUGCUAUUAGUGACCUUCGGAUAAGCUACUUUAGGGAUAACAGCGUAAUUAUAUUAAAGAGUUCUUAUUGAUGGUAUAGUUUGCGACCUCGAUGUUGAAUUAGGAUAUCUGGGGGCUGCAGGAAGUUCUUAUAGAUGGUCUGUUCGACCAUUAAAUUCCUACA
rnacentral:rRNA from 1 species